UACGGGGGGAGCAAGCGUUGUUCGGAUUUACUGGGCGUAAAGGGCUCGUAGGCGGCCAACUAAGUCAGACGUGAAAUCCCCAGGCUCAACCUGGGACUGCGUCUGAUACUGGAUGGCUUGAAUCCGGGAGAGGGAUGCAGAAUUCCAGGUGUAGCGGUGAAAUGCGUAGAUAUCUGGAGGAAUACCGGUGGCGAAGGCGGCAUCCUGGACCGGCAUUGACGCUGAGAG
rnacentral:rRNA from 1 species